AUUGAACGCUGGCGGCAUGCCUAACACAUGCAAGUCGAACGGGGCAGCAAUGCCUAGUGGCGGACGGGUGAGGAAUACGUAGGAAUCUGCCCUUAAGUGGGGGAUAACAAGGGGAAACCCUGACUAAUACCGCAUGAUCUCUUCGGAGCAAAGAGGGGGACCGAAAGGCCUCUCGCUUCUGGAUGAGCCUACGUCUGAUUAGCUAGUUGGUAGGGUAAAGGCCUACCAAGGCGACGAUCAGUAACUGGUCUGAGAGGAUGAUCAGUCACACCGGAACUGAGACACGGUCCGGACUCCUACGGGAGGCAGCAGUGGGGAAUAUUGGACAAUGGGCGCAAGCCUGAUCCAGCAAUGCCGCGUGUGUGAAGAAGGCCUUCGGGUUGUAAAGCACUUUAGCCUGGAAAGAAAAAACUUUGGUUAACACCCAAAGUCUUGACGGUACCAGGAGAAUAAGCACCGGCUAACUCUGUGCCAGCCGCCGCAGUAAAAC
rnacentral:rRNA from 1 species